rnacentral:rRNA from 1 species
GACGAACGCUGGCGGCGUGGAUUAGGCAUGCAAGUCGAACGGAGUUACGUAUGAAGUAUUUCGGUACGGACUAUGUAACUUAGUGGCGAACGGGUGAGUAACACGUGGGCAACCUGCCCUUAACCGGGGGAUAACAUUGUGAAAACAGUGCUAAUACCGCAUAACAGAGUAUCGGGCAUCCGAUAUUUUUAAAAGGAGCAAUCCGGUUUUGGAUGGGCCCGCGUCCAAUUAGCUAGUUGGUGAGGUAACGGCUCACCAAGGCGACGAUGGUUAGCUGGUCUGAGAGGAUGGCCAGCCACACUGGAACUGAGACACGGUCCAGACUCCUACGGGAGGCAGCAGUGAGGAAUAUUGCGCAAUGGGGGCAACCCUGACGCAGUGACGCCGCGUGAGUGAUGAAGGCUUUUCGAGUCGUAAAGCUCUGUUAGGUGGAAAGAAACAUCCCGGCGCUAAUAUCGUCGGGACUUGACGGUACCACCAGAGGAAGCACCGGCUAACUCCGUGCCAGCACGG